rnacentral:ncRNA from 1 species
UUGGGAACAGCACGGCCGCAAAUCUGACUCGCUCGGACCGCCCGGGCUCGGGAUUGCGGAAGUGU